GGAGGAAUGGCAGAGUGGUUGAAUGCACCGGUCUUGAAAACCGACGUACCGAAAGGUACCGGGGGUUCGAAUCCCUCUUCCUCCG
rnacentral:tRNA from 1 species